rnacentral:rRNA from 1 species
GCAUAUCAAUAAGCGGAGGAAAAGAAACCAACAGGGAUUGCCCCAGUAACGGCGAGUGAAGCGGCAACAGCUCAAAUUUGAAAUCUGGCCCCCCGGCCCGAGUUGUAAUUUGGAGAGGAUGCUUCUGGCGCGGCGCCGUCCGAGUUCCUUGGAACAGGACGCCACAGAGGGUGAGAGCCCCGUACGGACGGACGCCUAGCCUCUACGAAGCUCCUUCGACGAGUCGAGUAGUUUGGGAAUGCUGCUCAAAAUGGGAGGUAAAUUUCUUCUAAAGCUAAAUACCGGCCAGAGACCGAUAGCGCACAAGUAGAGUGAUCGAAAGAUGAAAAGCACUUUGAAAAGAGGGUUAAAAAGUACGUGAAAUUGUUGAAAGGGAAGCGCCUGUGACCAGACUUGCGCCCCGCGGACCACCCGGCGUUCUCGCCGGUGCACUCUGCGGUGCGCAGGCCAGCAUCGGUUCUCCCAGGGGGACAAAGGCCGCGGGAACGUAGCUCCUUCGGGAGUGUUAUAGCCCGCGGCGGCAUGCCCCUGGGGGGACCGAGGACCGCGCUUCGGCAAGGAUGCUGGCGUAAUGGUCACCAGCGACCCGUCUUGAAACACGGACCAAGGAGUCAAGCAUUGGGGCGAGUGUAUGGGUGCCAAACCCGCACGCGAAAUGAAAGUAAACGCAGGUGAGAGCUUCGGCGCAUCAUCGACCGAUCCUGAUGUCUUCGGAUGGAUUUGAGUAAGAGCCUUACCGCUUGGACCCGAAAGAUGGUGAACUAUGCCUGAAUAGGGUGAAGCCAGAGGAAACUCUGGUGGAGGCUCGCAGCGGUUCUGACGUGCAAAUCGAUCGUCAAAUUUGGGCAUGGGGCGAAAGACUAAUCGAACCAUCUAGUAGCUGGUUACCGCCGAAG